GUCCACGCCGUAAACGAUGAUAACUAGCUGUCCGGGGACUUGGUCUUUGGGUGGCGCAGCUAACGCAUUAAGUUAUCCGCCUGGGGGAGUACGGUCGCAAGAUUAAAACUCAAAGGAAUUGACGGGGGCCUGCACAAGCGGUGGAGCAUGUGGUUUAAUUCGAAGCAACGCGCAGAACCUUACCAGCGUUUGACAUGUCCGGACGACUUCGAGAGAUCGAUUUCUUCCCUUCGGGGACUGGAACACAGGUGCUGCAUGGCUGUCGU
rnacentral:rRNA from 1 species